rnacentral:ncRNA from 1 species
UAAAGUAGAGAUAAAAACACAGUUCUGUUGGUAGUCAGAACCUAUAAUAGAUUUAUAGCAGUAACCUGCCCUCCUGGGUUGUCCAUUCUCUUGAAGUUUUUA